UUGGCGGUUUAUUAAACCAACUUUACACAGGCUACUGUUUGGGCCGUAGCACACGCCAAAAAGAUGACAGAUAACCCACAAGCCAAUCGUGACCUUCUCUUGGGAAGCCCAGACGUAAGAGAGGGAGAACAAAGGCUGAACCUGGUCUUAACUUCCAAUGCUCCACCCCCCUGCCCAACCCCCCUCCACGCCACUCCGCCAACCACCAGGAUGCCCGGCAUCAGAACAUUCCAGGCAUUCCCGUGAUUGGCAGAUAGCAGGUUGAUUGACAUGUCGGACCCCGCGAACACCGGGUACUGGUCAGUACAACACAACCACCUCCUAGCCUAACACAUAACACACAGCUGUCUGUGCGGGUCGCUACAACAUAAUGAUCUUUGGGGUUAAAAUCACUGCGGUGGUGUUUUAUAAUUGUAUACCAUGGUGUCAUUUCAUUAGCAGAAAUGGUUCACAAUGAUUGACCUUAAUUGCUGAUCUUACUGAAAGGUGGUUGGACGUAUCUGCUGGUCUGAAGAUCAGGAGUUUGGACCUGACGCUGGUGUUUGAGUACAGAGACCAGGACCUGUCUACCUUCCUCACCAUGGUCCCCAGCACUGGACUGAGUCUUGACAAAAUUAAGAUGUCCUCAUAUCUUGUCAGAAUAAGCCACAGUCAGAGAAAGUGGUUGAGCAUUGCUGUCAUGCUGCUCCCUAUCUGUACAUGUGGUGCUGCAGCUGCUGCAGGGGCUGGACUUCCUGCACACCAACAUGCUGGUGCACUGCGAUCUGAAGCCGGAAAAUGUACUGGUGGUGACACUGUGGUACUGGGGCCCCUGAGGUGCUGCUCCACUCUGGUUAUAUGUCCUCCGUGGACAUGUGGAGCGCCGGCUACAUUUUUACCAAACUAUUCCUUUUGAUACCAUUGUUCUGUGGAGACGCUGAGGCUCAGCAGCUCCAGAACAUCUUUGAGUGAAUUUUUUUCUUCUACCGUGCCCUACUUUUGAUUGGUCGUUAAUGAUAAAAGCAUUUGAAUAAUGUAUGAGUUGUGUUUUACCAGUGCCUUGUGUUGGGGUUGUGUCUGUGCUCUUUCCCAUGUCCCACAGGGUGAUUGGCUUGCCCAGCGAGGAGGACUGGCCCAGGGAGAGCCCCAUCUCCUACACCUGUAGUUGGUGUCCCAGAGACUCCUGCACCCAGCUCUUAUCCAACCUGGGCCAGGAGGAGAACAACCUGCUCCUUAGUUCAGCCCGGCCAAUCGCAUCUCAGAGCUUCCAGAGCCCUCUCGCACCCUUUACUGGUGUGCGCCUGAGUACUCACAACCUGGCACGAUGUGGAGAGAAGAGGGGAGAGCUGGGACAGAGGUUCAUUCCUAGCCUAUAGAACACUGAGGCUUCCCGUGCCGCAAGAUGUGAUGUACCUUUAUCAAAAUGUAGAAUUUUGGAAUGGAAAUAAAACGUUAGUGAAAAUAUUUAAAAGGUAAAUCUGCAGGUUAAGCAAUAAAGUGGGCAUCCUGCCACUGUUUUGGUAAAAAGAAAGUUGAGGGGUGGAAAAAUUGAAUCUCAAAUUCAUAGACAGAGCUAAGGAUGCAAAGACUGACCAUGCAUGAUAUCAAAAUUAUAGAUUUAACCAUGUUUAAAGCUAUAUAGUGUUUGUUUACAAUUACCUUAUUUACA